rnacentral:rRNA from 1 species
UACGUAGGGGGCAAGCGUUGUCCGGAAUUAUUGGGCGUAAAGCGCACGUAGGCGGCUUGGCAAGUCGGAUGUGAAAUCCCUCGGCUCAACCAAGGAAGUGCAUCCGAAACUGCCGAGCUUGAGUACUUAAGAGGAUCGCGGAAUUCCCGGUGUAGAGGUGAAAUUCGUAGAUAUCGGGAGGAACACCAGUGGCGAAGGCGGCGAUCUGGGAAGAUACUGACGCUGAGGUGCGAAAGCGUGGGGAGCAAACAGG